AGCUAGGGUUCUACAGCUCUGUUUUCUGCCAGAGUAAGGCAUGUGUGAGAGGAGCUGCAUGCUUUUUCAAGAAAAUGUCUUCUGUAUAGUGCUGCCAGAGGAGGCAGGCCCUGAAUCCAAGGCAGAGUGUUGCUGUUCUGCCAAUGCCCAAAGACUUCAAAGAGGAUUGGACCCAACAGGCCGUGGGAUGUUCAAAUGCAAAGUAGGACAUGGCCAUGCAGUUGAGAGCUGGUGUAGCUGGUCCCUGAAGUGCCUGUGCCCUGCCUUGGUGGGAAUUCCUGCAGCAACACUUAAAAACAUACGAACUGGUUUGACAGCACUUCAUUUUGACACAAUGAGUUCCAAACAAACCUUGUGGGGCCGAUUUAUCUUUUUGCACAUGCUGUCUCUUAUAAUGUAAUCUGCUGGUAUUGGAGGAUGAAAACCAUUGUAGAAGGGAAAUCAUGAAAAAGAAGCGUGUUCCUCCAGCUGACUGGAGUCAGCUGACUUUAAUCCGCUCUAAUAUUUUAGUUUGAUUUCCUCAGGAAAUGAAGCCUAGCUGAUAGUAUGCAUCAAUCUGUUUUUUCCAUGUGUUGUUCCUCCCAACCAAUUUCAACCACAUUUAAAAGAGGGCGGAAAGCUGAAAAGUGAGUUUGCACCUGUAUGGUUCUUAAUAGCUGGUGAUUAGGUAAUGCCUCACUCUGUCCAUAGAGGAAAGGCACCUGGCGGCAGCUAGCCAGGCCAAAUGGUGUCUCUGUUUCGCACUGCAGUGUGCAUUUUGGUAAACUAGAAAACAAGUACACGCUUCUGGACUACCCGCAGCAAACAGUUUAUUUUUGCUGCAGGGGAUGUCAUAGGGAUAUGAUGGGAUCUGGUCUUGGGAAGGCAGGCUUUGUAAUUUCUGUUUGCAGAGCAGCUUGCUCUAAAGCAGUCUAAAAAGGAAUACUUCUGGAGUGGCAUUACUUCUUUAGUGGCAAGAAUCCUGCAUACCUUUCCUAUGCAUGCACAGUCACCUUAGCAUUCUAGGGGGAUUCAUAAGGAGACUUUCUCUCUUUAUUUUUUUCAUAGGAUUUGCCUAGAAGGUGUAGGACAGACUGGAUAUUGAACCAGAACAGCUGCUGCUGCCUGUUCCACCUGCGGGUACUUUUCUCCCCCACAUUGCUAUCACUAGGUCAAUGGUGUGGACCAACACCAUUGCAUCUCCAUCAACCUCUCUCCUUCCCCACUUGCAGGCCGGGCCCUUCAUUACCUGAAGUUUCCUCAGGUUUUGCAAAAGCCUCUGAAGACCCCGCAGGAGCCUGGACUCCUGCCUGCAGCCACACGUGCAGAAGGAUAUUUUGCCUGUUGGCUUCUGCCUGAACUUUCAGCCUUUGAGGGCCUCGCCUGUGGGUGGCUAAGCAGCAUCUGUGAUGUGUAAAUUGAGAUUGUUAUCUCCUAGCAGUGGCAUCCAGGCUGCCAUGACAACCAUGGUGAGGGCGCAGUGUGGCCCAGGAGGGGCCACCAGGUUGGGGGGCAGUCCGCCUGGACUGCCACCUCACAGUGACUUCUCAAAGGCUGCACAGCCUCCGUGUCCCCAGCUGCAAAAGGACACCUCUUUUGAAAUGCCUGGAGAGUGACUGAUGAAAAGCCCUGUGCGAAUGUUAAGUAGUACUUCAUUAUUGCUGCUCUUCUCACCAGAAGCAAUGAUUUCAGGGGGCAAUGAAGCUACAGGAGCUAAUUACUCCUUGGGAAGAAAGUUCAUCUUCUGUAAGGUAGGAGGAACCUGUGUUUGAAGGGAGAGGGGUAGUGGGAGAAACCUGUAAGCAAACAGUGGCUUUGCAAGCUGGAUUUCCUACAUGGAGUGAUUCCUUCUGGUCCCUCUGAAAUUGCACGGAAGUCAUGGGCGAUCCAGCAAAGAUUAAUGCAGCCUGAUGCAUGCUAUUUGCCCUGGAGGCCUUGGCAGCUCUGUAAUUACAAUCGGUGCGCCCAAGUCCCUCUCUGGCCCCUGCGUACUGCCUGGUGGUGCCACCAGCAUUGGAGAGACCCUGGAUUUGGGAUCUGUCAGGCAGAACUCUGCUGAGAAGUCAAACCUGCCCCUCUGCAUUUCUCACUGCAGCAAUGAGGCGCGCUCUCCUCCUUUGCUGAAUAAGUUCCCCAUGUCAGAUGGAGCCUUAGGGACUCCUGAGCCGAGCGUGGCUCAUAGACUUGUGAUCCAAGAGAGAUGUUUUCAGGGGAAGAAGAGAGCCAUAUUUCUAUAACAUAUAUAUUUAUAUAUAUAAAAAAAAUGAAAUAAAUGAGCAGGCUUGCAACA
ensembl:lncRNA